rnacentral:ribozyme from 1 species
AGAGGUUGCAAGGUCGAGGCUAUAGCAAAAGCGCUUAUAGCACGGCCCUGUCAGAUUCUAAUGAAAUCUGCAAAUUCUGCU